GCCGCUGACCCGCCGCCUCCGUCUGCCUCCUCCCGGGCUCUGGGCCCAGCGCGCCCAGAUGCCGGGCAGGACCCCUCCGCCCGCUGCUGGAACACCAAUAGCAGCGUUGGAGCCUCUGGGCCGGAGGAACUGGGGCCUCCACCGACACCUGCUUCUUCCCUCACCUCGCAGCCUUCCACACCUGUUGAUCUGACCUCUGCCCCGCUGCCGCCCAGGAGUAACCUAAGGCUUUUGGCCUGAUUCGAGCUCACUCCGUCUAAACCUCUAAAUGCGGUGCGAAAAAAUCCUGGGGAAUGUGCCAUGCAAAGCCUGGGCAUUUCAAGUGCUUUUCUGGAUUCGCAUCAACUCCUCUUUACAGGCAUCUUUAUCCGGAAUUCAGCUCGUCCCAAACCCCACGUGGUGUAGCUCUGCUUGUGUUUUUGAAUCCCGGGGCCUCUUUGAAUCAGAAGCCCUUUGUAUAGAGAUAAGUAUCCUUUAGGCCAGAAUCAGCCUCCAUUUUUUUCGCAGUCCCAUUUCCUACCCGUAAUACUUUCUUCUGAUUUUAAAGCCAUUUGAUAGAGAAGGGACAGGGAACAGAACCUUCGCCCCCCGCCUGAGCAGCUGGUAGACUAGAUAUCUUCCAAACAUUAUCUCAUUUACUUCCCUGGAGUUACAAAUAGGUAGAUUUCAUGUCCGUUGAGGGGUGAGAAAGCUGAAACUUUGAGACUUAAGAAUCCUGGCCGAGGUCAGCCUCCUCCGAAGCUUCAUCUCUUGCCACCACUUUCUGGUGCACACCUAGGACAGAUUUCAAUCCCUGAGAUCCCAGGAUGAAACCUAUGUUUGCCAAAUACCAGCUACUGUGCCAGAAGAGAUCAUGGAACCAGGUGUGGAAAGCUGCUUGAGAAGAGGAGCCAAAACAUCAUAGUUGAACCGUCCUGGAAUAGAAACUCGCCCUGAAUUCUUUCUUGUGUGAAAUCCAAGAGCCCUCUCUUGGGGUUGGAUCGGGACCCUGUUCCUGUAACAAGUCCACAAUGCCAGAGAAUUAAAGAGAACCACAAAGAGCAAAGGGAAAAACAGCUAAGUGUUUCCUGGCUGAAUUUUAUUUUGCUUUCAGUUUCUGCCAUUUCAGUUCCUGUUAUCGUGCUUUGAGGUGCACUGAACUGCAGCAAACCCAGGGGAUCCAAGGCUACGUUGAAAAGCCUUUGACCACAGUGCAGGGAGCAGAAGACAUUAAUGACGUGAUGUCGACACAGCCCGCACUCAGGAUCCUCCAGGAAAAGAACACAGAGAUAACCCCGGAUCGAUGGUACUUUUUGAAAAUGCUUUAUUGCAAAAGAGUGGCUAGGGUUUUACAA
rnacentral:lncRNA from 1 species